CUGAAGGAAAAUGGUCUACCCCAUUCCUCACCCACUUCACCUCCACAGCUCGGGGGUGAAACCCGUACACCAGACACUGAAGUCUUAACACUUCAUCA